rnacentral:rRNA from 1 species
CAAGUCGAGCGGAGAUGAGGUGCUUGCACCUUAUCUUAGCGGCGGACGGGUGAGUAAUGCUUAGGAAUCUGCCUAUUAGUGGGGGACAACAUUCCGAAAGGAAUGCUAAUACCGCAUACGUCCUACGGGAGAAAGCAGGGGAUCUUCGGACCUUGCGCUAAUAGAUGAGCCUAAAUCGGAUUAGCUAGUUGGUGGGGUAAAGGCCUACCAAGGCGACGAUCUGUAGCGGGUCUGAGAGGAUGAUCCGCCACGCUGGGACUGAGACACGGCCCAGACUCCUACGGGAGGCAGCAGUGGGGAAUAUUGGACAAUGGGGGGAACCCUGAUCCAGCCAUGCCGCGUGUGUGAAGAAGGCCUUAUGGUUGUAAAGCACUUUAAGCGAGGAGGAGGCUACUGAGACUAAUACUCUUGGAUAGUGGACGUUACUCGCAGAAUAAGCACCGGCUAACUCUGUGCCAGCAGCCGCGGUAAUACAGAGGGUGCGAGCGUUAAUCGGAUUUACUGGGCGUAAAGCGUGCGUAGGCGGCUUUUUAAGUCGGAUGUGAAAUCCCCGAGCUUAACUUGGGAAUUGCAUUCGAUACUGGGAAGCUAGAGUAUGGGAGAGGAUGGUAGAAUUCCAGGUGUAGCGGUGAAAUGCGUAGAGAUCUGGAGGAACACCGAUGGCGAAGGCAGCCAUCUGGCCUAAUACUGACGCUGAGGUACGAAAGCAUGGGGAGCAAACAGGAUUAGAUACCCUGGUAGUCCAUGCCGUAAACGAUGUCUACUAGCCGUUGGGGCCUUUGAGGCU